UACCCGCGCCCCAAGUGGCGGUCGAUAUUAUUGAGCCUAAAACGUCCGUAGCCGGUCUUCUAGAUCCUUGGGUAAAUCGGGCAGCUCAACUGCCCGAAUUCCGGGGAGACUGGGAGACUUGGGGCCGGGAGAGGUCAGAGGUACUUCUGGGGUAGGGGUAAAAUCCUGUAAUCCUGGAAGGACCACCGGUGGCGAAGGCGUCUGACUAAAACGGAUCCGACGGUGAGGGACGAAGCCCUGGGGCGCAAACGGG
rnacentral:rRNA from 1 species